UCCAGAGCGCCUGCGCUAAACCCGCUUCUCGGCGCCAUUUUGUCCUGGCAGCGGUGGCCGCGGCUCUACCGCAUUUUGUGUUGGUGGACCGAAGCGCUAGGCGUCUUCAUCCGGAAACGUUGGGAACAUUGGAAACUUUGUCCAUAAGGCAUCCUUCAUGGCUUCAUAAUAAUAUAUAGAAUAGAUGAAUAAUAAUUUAUUAAGACUGAUUUUGUGGAACAGUGAAGCAAGAUGUUACAGUUGACUUGAGAUGCUGUCUGUUGAAAAUUCUGUUUCUGGUUUCUUCAUGAAGGAUGGGAAUAAAAGCAAAUGGAAAAUCAGGUAAGUGCUCUGGAAUCUGCAAAUCAAAACUUUGUUUUUUAAACCUUUUUCUUUUCAGGUAACAGUAUCAGUAGUUACUAUUGUAAGGCACUCAAUUCUUAGGUUCUGUAUUCAUGUCAGUAAAAUAUACCAACUGUUCCUUUUGCCCAGAGGCAGCCACAGCUCAACGACAGCCAUAGUGUUGCCCCUAGAUUUAUUAAUCUCUGUGUGGUGUGUGUGACCAUUAACUGUUGUCUUUCAUAGUAGCUGUAGAGCUAGGGGGGUGUGUGUGUGUAUUUCAGAUAGCUUCAAUUUGGCCUGCAUGUUUCAACUCGGGUUUCUUGAGAACCAGUAUUUUCUAAAGCAUUCUGUCAGGUAUCAUGAGAACUUAGUUAAGUUACACUCAGGACACAGUAAGAGGAUUCAUACUUUAGUGAAGUAUAGGAAUGGCUAUAGUUUUGUUUAGGGAGACAAACUUUUCUGUCUUUAAUUAAAUUCAGAUGUUUUUCCAAGGCUGGCACUUUUGUCAUUCUCAGGUAGAUGUGAAUUUUAAAAUGUAGUUGGCAAUUUUAUAUAAAAAGAAACCAUGGUAAUGAAAUUCUAGUUUUUAAGUUGAUUCUAUAGCAGCCAUUCUAUUCAGGCAUAAUGAUUUGCUAAACGGCAUACAUGCUCAAAGUCCAGCCGUAUGCUACAGUUAACUCAGUGAUGAGAUUACCUUCUUAGGAAAGCCUAGCAGUUGAUGGCAUGAGCCCAAUAAGGGUGUGUGUAGCUAGCCUGAAUUCAGGCUGUUUGUUCCUCCUUUUAGUACUGCUGUUGAGGUUAUGACAGCUGUUUAAGUGACAGAAUAGGGACUUUAUUGGUCCUUAAAAUCCAUGCCUCACCACAAAAAAAUGAAAGUACCCAUGACUGGCAUGUUCCAUAGUUGCUUGUGAAAAAAACUAUCACAAACUGAUUUUUAAGAGAUUAAUUUAUUUGAAAGAUCACCAUGCCACAGAGAAAUCUUCCAUCUGCUGCUUCAUUCCCCAAAUAGUCAAAACAGCUAGGCCUGGGCCAGGCUGAAGCCAGAAGGUAAGAAUUCCAUCCGGAUUUUCCUACCAGGGCCUAACCGCUUGGGCCAUCUCCCACUGUCUUCCCAAGCGCAUUAGCAGGGAACUGGAUCAGAGGUGGAGCAGCCAGGACUCACACCAGCGCUCAGUGGGACAACCUGUUUGUUGCGCCUCACUCUGCCCCUCCUUUCCCCUGCAAACCGAAAUUCUGUAUCACAUCUACAGUUUUAACUGUGGCUGAUGACCAACAAUCAUUUUACUAAAUUAUUUACAUGGGUAACACAUGGAUGCUCCUAGUGAAGCCCAGCAAAGAUCUUUUAAAGUGAUGGAAUGGGGCUUCAAGUUUGACCCAAAGUCUCUAUUUGCAGUAUUUUAACUAAGGAAUUUUUAAGUAGCAUAUACCUUUAUUUUAAUAUAAAUGUUCUCAAUCCCACCCAUUUUGUCAGAUAGUAACCAAACUUCAGUAGUUACAAGACAAAAAUUUAAUGAAAAUUGAUCAGUGGGUUAUUUAUAAUCCACAGGCUAAAUAUCACGAGAUGGUAGUAGAAAGAUGCAGAAGUAAUUGUUACAUAUUGUCAUCAUCUGAUUCAUCUUCUUCCUUUAAAGAUUCCUGUAAGAGAAAAAAUAGCACUUAAAAUCAACUUUAAAUAUUGUUACAGCCCAUAUAUAAGAGCAAGUUGAGAUACAGCAACCUGAAUUUAAGUAAGCAUUUAUUAAUGGUAACUGAAUGGGACACAGAUUUAGGAUGAAAUUCAAAUAUAUUCUUGCUCUGAAGAUCAAUGGAUACUUGAUGUAUCCUGAAAAAUCUUACAGUUUUCACCAAGGGAAGAAAAAAAAUCCCUUUUUGAGUUGAAUUUGGAAAUGUGUUACUUAUAAGGUAACUUACCUUAGCAUAUUUCUCUGCUUCUUCUCUUACAUCUUUUGGAACAAUUUCAUGCCUUCCUUUAGUUACUGUAAAUUAAGCCAUAUAUUUAAACAAAUUUAAAAUGCUUUCCUAUAAGUGAUCCUCAUUUUUUAAUGUUUCCUCAUGAGAUUUUAUGUGCUCAAAUUUUUAGAAAUUAAUCCCAAGCAUUAAUUCAUAGCAUGAGAUCAAUUUUGGGCGAUUUCUUAGAUAUUUCAAAAAGAAAACUUCACAAACUCUGUUAAAUACACAGAAAUUACUUACAUUCACCAACCCAGCUGAGCUCUAACUCAAAAGCUUUAUCCUUAACUUCAUCAUGUACUAUGUAAAUUCUAGAAGAAAAAAAAAAACAUUGGAGGUGACCAAAACACUGCAGUUUACAUACCCAGUCAGUACAAAUUAGAUUACCAAGUUAAAAUAAAUAAAAUUAUGUAGACUCAAAUCUGAAUUGCGAGUAUCAGAAUAAGCUACAGAGGACUUGAGUAGACUGAAACACUUUCAUUCUCCUUAUAAAUGCUAAAUGAUAGCUUGUCUGGCUUAUUUUGAUACAUUGCUUAAAAGCCAUAAAAAACCAUCUCAAGAGUACAGAAAUGGGUAAAGUCAAGGCUACCACCUGAAGCCAGCAAUGGGCAGGCAGCAGGUUCAUGUCCCAGCUGCUCCACUCCAACCAAGCUCCCGGACACGAGAAAACCAAUGGAAGAUGGUUCAUGUUUGGGCUUCUGCCACUACACAGAAGACCCAGAUGAAGUUCCUGGCUUGGGCCUGGCCCACCACUGGCUGUUCUAGCGGUCUGGGGAUUGAGUCAGCAAGUAGAAAAUAGUCUCAUCUGUAACUCUUCUGAAAUAAAUCUUUAAAAAUUUAAACAUAAAUGAGAACCAGGCCAUCAUUAACCAUCCCUUCUCAGGACGCUAUUUCCUUUCAUUAAGGAAAUAAAGCCUAGUAAUUUAUGUGCCCUAUAUUAGAAGUUGUUGCCUCAACCUGUAGCUUCUUGGCUGGAGUUUAAAAAAAAGAUUAAAGUACCAAAAGGCUAAAGUCACAGUGUAGCUUUAUAUUUUCCACUUUAUUUUAUAGGGUAUUUUAAAUUAGUUAUUUUGUAAGCAGUUCUGUAUGUUGGUUCUCAGUGUUUCUGUUACUAAAUGACAAUUAAUAGGUGACAGUGGCAAGAAUGGUGAACGAAGUUUAUGAGUUUAAAAAAGACUAUGAUUGCUGUUUAAACUUUACCAGUAUGUUUAAUCCUUUUUUUUUCCCCUUGUAUGUAUAAUGGUUUAUAAAACCACUCAGGUUCUUCAGCUUUGUGGAUGUCUACUAUUCCACUGUUGCACCUUAGGCUUUCUUGAGCUGUUUUUUAGAAGUGUUUUUGAAAUACUAUUUUUUCUCAUCCUGUUGAAGAACUUUUAUUAUAUAUCUGAAAAAGUAGAAAGUGAGCCAGCCUUAUGGAUCAUGUAUAGAAAUAAUUAACUUGUAAAUCACACGAUAAAUAAAGUUGCUAAGCUUUCUUGGUGGUGUUCUGAUUAUUGUUAUUUUGGGGAUGUUAACAAAUAAAGCCCCUACAAACGUUCACUAUGUCCUUCACAUGUCAAAUCUCGUUGCCCACACAGGAGCAGGAGCUUGUUUUCUCAACAUUCAUUCUCAUUCUUGAAAUACUCAUUUUCUUCAUGAGGAUUCUUAGACUGUCAAAUUCUCUCCCUAAAAAUUACAUACUGCUAUUUUCAAACAAAAUAGCCCCAUACAUAUGCCAAGACAAUGUGAAAUAUCUUUGUGGAUGUAUCAAGGAAAAUUUGAACUUACAUUUUGGCAACUUCUUUAACAACAUCACGGCAGGUCAUUUCUUUCAUCUACAGAAAAUAAAAUUAUGCAUUUUCCAUUUGUGUAACUGCACAACUGUUACCACUAACUCAUGGUCAAGAUAGAUUCUCAGAUGUAAAAACAAAACAAAUUCCAAAAAAAAAAGAUAAAUUUCCUGAUUUUUAUUUUUAAAUUAACAUGCCAAAAUUCAUAUUGGAGAUAACCACUAAUUUUCUGGUAAAACUUAGAUAAGCCCAAGUCUAAUUCAUAAGUAGACCCAGAGCAAAAGCUUGGUCAUACUAGAAUUCAACAUUCUUGGAGGGACUGUUGAUGGGGAAUCAGAAUAGAAAAAUAGCCUGUAAGCACUAACCAUAACAAGUGAAGUAGCCUGUAAGAAAUCACUGCAAGAGAUUUAUUAAUCAUACACGUCUCAGGAUCAACACAAAGUCUGAGCAAAGUGACAUUUGUGUUGUGGAUACCUUGAGAUAGAGAACGUCAAAGAGUACUCAACACAGUAAUCCAGACUUAAAUGUCAUUCAAUUUACUGCAAAUGGGGUUCAUGAAUUUUUACUAAUUUAUUUUAGAAAUCCUAAAGUUCAAAUGAUGGCUGUACAACCGAGGAAGAAAAACACAACCCUAACACUUGAGUUUAAGGAUACAAAUCUUGGGGCUGGCAGAUCUACCUUGAUCUGUUGCCUACAACACUGGCAUCCCAUAUGGGUGCUGGUUCAAGUCUUGGCUGCUCUACUUCACAUCACCUAAUGCACCUGGGAAAAAGGUGCAAGAUGGGUCAAGUGCUUGGGUGCCUGCACCCAAUUGGGACACCUGGAAGUUCCUGGCCCAGCCCCAGACAUUGCAGACACUUGGGGAAUUAACCACCAGAUGGAACAUAGAUCUCUGUCCAUCUUGAAACACUGCCUUUCAAAUAAAUAAAUCUUUAGUCUCAGAACAGCACGUUGGUACAACCACAAAAGCAACUGGCGAAAGCAACUUAAAAUAUUUUGUGAGGACAAAGGAUAGUUUAAAAGAGAUGUAAAAUAAGAAAUUCAAUGUGAACCUUGAUAGUAUAAUUCAAAGUUAAAAAUAUUGUGGAGACUGAGGCAAUUCAGUUAUGGAAUAUAAGAUGAUGCUUUAAGUAUGAUAUUGGUAUCACAAGGAGAUGAGUGAUGAUGCACUCAGAUUCAGUGUCAUCGCUGCAACUUCUCAAAAAGUUUAGGGGGAAAAAAAACAAAUGGAUAAAAUGCAGGGAAAAGUCUAAAUAGACUUGUAACAUUCUUACUCCUAUCUGAUGGUUAGCGUUAAUCAGUUAUAUUUUUUCCAUGCUAAAGUAGAGGUAAAAGGAAGGGAAACAGUACUUUUGUAUUUUUGCUCAGUAAGGUUACUGAGGUUUACAUUUAGCAAAUUAAUUGCAUUCUACAAUAGCAAACUUUUGUACAGGGCCAAGUAGUAACUAUUUCAGACUAUCAGCCAUAUAUAUGUAUGUGUAUAUAUAUGUAUGGCCUCUGUUCCAAAUAUUAAAAUCUGUUGUAGUGUGAUUCUGGCUCUGGGAAGAAAAAGUGGGUAACUGUAACAGGCUAGGCGUCUUGCUCUAGCUAGGAGCAAGGUACAGAGAAGCACUGAGAUCACAGACAGACACUGUCCCAAAGAAAUGUUACAGAAAAAAAAUACUACGUGUAACUUUUUAUGACAGUAACUCAAAAUUUAAAAACACCAACAUUCUCACACUAGAGCUUGUGAAGCCAUAAAUGGACUUCAUGAAAGAUUCUAUUUUUUUUCUGUUUUGUGGGUUUAUAGCAACCAUCAAAAUUAGAGGGAACUACAGCACAACUGUACAUAUGUUACCAGCUUUCCUACUCUGUACUUAGCUGCACAAAGCUCUGCUCUAAACAACCAAGCCACACUAUAACCUUGGGUGGGGAAAUUAGGCACAGGAGGCAAUUCAAAGAUAGUGCCCAAAGGAAGUAAGGUGGGCGGAACCCAAAGUUGUUUACCACCAAAGCUAAUUGGCCACACAACAUCGGGGGAGGUGACAACAACUAAUGACAAGUAUAUAGACAUAUGGAUGGUCCUGUAAAAACACUGCCCCGUAAAAUGGCCUUUUAAGUAACUGGUUGGUCCUUAUGCCCUGCCCCAAUAGUCCUGCAGUUUUGUGCUUUAAAAGGCUUUGCUACGCACACAGUAAAUGAGUUCUUGCCUGACUUGACUCCCCACUGAUCAAGGGAGGCUGGGGAACGGGUGAGCGGUGCACUUAACCUUUCCUCAGACCCAGUCCAUCCUUGUUUGGGUGGACUAAGACCCUGCAACCUUGGACUGAAAGGUUUACCUUAUGGUAAUAAAACUUCAGCACAUGAGGAUGGUGAUGAGGUAGCAAAGGUUAAAGCAUUAAAUGUUACCUGAAGCUUCUCUAUUUCUGUCUUUGCAGCUUGCCUGGCUUUGCCAAUGGCACAGCCCCAAUAACCCUAUUUAAAAAAAAUACAAAAAAAAGAAUAAUCACUUGAUUGUCAUGCAUUCCAUCAAUAGUGACCACUGCUGUUUCUACUUGCAAGUUAAUCAAAGGAUAGUAAAUUACUUUUAAAACUCCUUGUUAAUGCACCUGUCGAAGCAGCACAAGAUGGCCUAAGUGCUUGGGCCCCUGCACCCACAUGGAAGACCAGAAGAAGCUCCAGGUUUCAGGCUUCAGACCUGCCCAGCUCUGGCCAUUGUGACCAUUUGCCAAGUAAGCAGAUCGAAGCUCUCAUGGGAUCUCUCACUCUCUCUAAAUUCUGCCUUUCAAAUAAAUAUUUAAAAAAAAAAAUAAACUACU